AGAGUUUGAUCCUGGCUCAGGAUGAACGCUAGCUACAGGCUUAACACAUGCAAGUCGAGGGGAAACGAUAUUGGAAGCUUGCUUCCGAUAGGCGGCGACCGGCGCACGGGUGAGUAACGCGUAUCCAACCUGCCCUUUACUCGGGGAUAGCCUUCUGAAAGGAAGUUUAAUACCCGAUGAAUUCGUUUAGUCGCAUGGCUUGAUGAAGAAAGAUUUAUCAGUAAAGGAUGGGGAUGCGUCCCAUUAGCUUGUUGGCGGGGUAACGGCCCACCAAGGCGACGAUGGGUAGGGGUUCUGAGAGGAAGGUCCCCCACAUUGGAACUGAGACACGGUCCAAACUCCUACGGGAGGCAGCAGUGAGGAAUAUUGGUCAAUGGGCGCGAGCCUGAACCAGCCAAGUAGCGUGGAGGACGACGGCCCUACGGGUUGUAAACUCCUUUUAUAAGGGGAUAAAGUUGGCCAUGUAUGGCCAUUUGCAGGUACCUUAUGAAUAAGCAUCGGCUAAUUCCGUGCCAGCAGCCGCGGUAAUACGGAAGAUGCGAGCGUUAUCCGGAUUUAUUGGGUUUAAAGGGAGCGUAGGCGGGCAGUCAAGUCAGCGGUCAAAUGGCGCGGCUCAACCGCGUUCCGCCGUUGAAACUGGCAGCCUUGAGUAUGCACAGGGUACAUGGAAUUCGUGGUGUAGCGGUGAAAUGCUUAGAUAUCACGAGGAACUCCGAUCGCGCAGGCAUUGUACCGGGGCAUUACUGACGCUGAGGCUCGAAGGUGCGGGUAUCAAACAGGAUUAGAUACCCUGGUAGUCCGCACAGUAAACGAUGAAUGCCCGCUGUCGGCGACAUAGUGUCGGCGGCCAAGCGAAAGCGUUAAGCAUUCCACCUGGGGAGUACGCCGGCAACGGUGAAACUCAAAGGAAUUGACGGGGGCCCGCACAAGCGGAGGAACAUGUGGUUUAAUUCGAUGAUACGCGAGGAACCUUACCCGGGCUUGAAUCGCAGGUGCAUGGGCCGGAGACGGCCCUUUCCUUCGGGACUCCUGCGAAGGUGCUGCAUGGUUGUCGUCAGCUCGUGCCGUGAGGG
rnacentral:rRNA from 1 species